rnacentral:rRNA from 1 species
GUAGCGGUGAAAUUCCAAACGAACUUGGAGAUAGCUGGUUCUCUCCGAAAUAGCUUUAGGGCUAGCCUCGCAAAGAGGAUGCUGGAGGUAGAGCUCUGUUUGGACUAGGGGCCCGUCAAGGGUUACUGAAUUCAGAUAAACUGCGAAUUCCAGACAUUUAUGUGCGGGAGUCAGACUGCGAGUGAUAAGAUCCGUAGUCGAAAGGGAAACAGCCCAGAUCACCAGUUAAGGUCCCAAAAUUCAUGCUAAGUGGAAAAGGAUGUGGAGUUU